GGAGGGAUCGCCUAGUGGCCGAGGGCGCGCGUCUCGAAAACGCGUAGGGGCUUAGUCCCCUCGUGGGUUCGAAUCCCACUCCCUCCGCCU
rnacentral:tRNA from 1 species